ensembl:lncRNA
CAUUUUUUGUGGCAAAAGGGAAGAGUACUGACAUUUUUUUACCUGUGUUCAGGCAAGGAGCAGCUAGGAGGAGUCUAAAAAUAAGCUCAGAACUUUGCACCAAAUCCUCCCCCUUGCACUGGCAGAUGAAGCUGAACCAUGAACCUUCCCAGCCCGGACCCAGAGACUUCGCCCUCUUCCAGAGCAUUGCUUUUGGCAAGAGACUUUGUCAACAAGAUCUCCAUGGAUCUCAAUUUACAGUGCUUGUGCAUCUUCUAAGCACAGACAACAGAUCCUUACAACAGGUCCAACAGAUCCUGACAACAGCCAGCUAAUCCUUCCAACCCAGUCAAAAAGAACAAGAGAAGUGGUGAGGAAGACGUGCAGGAGGUGGUAAG